UACAGAGGGGGCAAGCGUUGUUCGGAAUUACUGGGCGUAAAGGGCGCGUAGGCGGCCUGUUAAGUCGAACGUGAAAUCCCCGGGCUCAACCCGGGAACUGCGUCCGAUACUGGGAGGCUUGAAUCCGGGAGAGGGAUGUGGAAUUCCAGGUGUAGCGGUGAAAUGCGUAGAUAUCUGGAGGAACACCGGUGGCGAAGGCGGCAUCCUGGACCGGUAUUGACGCUGAGGCGCGAAAGCUAGGGGAGCAAACGGG
rnacentral:rRNA from 1 species